UCCAGAGUGACUCUACAUUUUAUUUAGUGAAGGAAAAAAAACGUCCAGGUGAGAGGUAACUACUACUUCAUCGUUGCAUCAGUCUCACUCAUGCAGUUUUGAGUUGAGACAACCAGCUUGAAGCUGUUACCUGUAGGUGGUGUCGUGAACACUGCAGUGUUAUGGAGGGCAGGGGUUUUGACACAGGUUGGCAGCAGAGGCCGAAGUAUUUUCCACUUUCCAACCCCGUGGACGAUAUACCACCUGGCUGACUUCGACUCACCCAACCUGGGACGGUUGAUCUUCAGGGCCUCCUGGACUCAGAGCAGCGUAGGAGAGAUCUGGAAGUCAGUCUGGCUCGGGUCGAAAGUGCUCUGCAGAAACAGGCUCCGACUGCUCCAGAGAAUGGGCCGAGGGAGCCGGCAUGCACAACCCCAGAUACUUGUUUUGAAUCUUUGGCAGAUCAAACAACCAGAAACUCCAUCCCAGACUUAUCAGGGAAUGUCUACAUCCCACCAUGUGGUGACCUUUACAGAAGGUAAUGAAUAACUGGUGCUUCUUGAUCAGUGCAGUGGAUCAUUGGGCUCCUGAGUGGCGCAGCCGGCUAAGGCACUGCAUCUGUGCUAGAGGCGUCAUUACAGACCCUGGUUUGACUCCAGGCUGUAUCACAACCGGCCGUGGUUGGGAGUCACAUAGGACGGCGCACGAUUGGCCCAGCGUCAUCCGGGUUAGGGUUUGGCCGGGGUAGGCCGUCAUUGAGCGAGACAAACUUGAGCAUCUGCUGGAGGAGUCUAGGGCCUAGCAGGGCCUGGUGGAGCAGGUAAGGGAUGCCUCAGAGGCCCGUAUGGAAGCCCUCCACUCCCAGCUAUAUUAGGAACGCUUCAGCUUCCAGGAGACACACAGAGAGAGACUGGCCACACAGGCAGAGCAACAUGGCAGCAAGCAGGUGGAGAAUUGGAAGACCAGACCAACUAAACUGGUACAGGGAUUCACACCCAAAAUGGAUUCAGGUGGUUCGUUCUACACUUCGUAUUUGUACAGAAGCAUGUAAUCUUGCCAGACGUCUCGGUAGUAUCUAACCCAGGCCUCACCUGAUAAGGCUAACAGAAAACUGAAAGGGGGUGUGAACCAGUAGAAGUCAGGUUUUACCAAUCAUCACACCAGUUGUGAGUAGCCACACAACAGUUGUCUGUAUAAUAAUGCCACAGUAAAGACAUAUACUAUUUUGUGUAACACCACUAUGUUGGCUGAUGAUCUGCAGAUGAAUAAGUCCCUGUAAAUGGAGGUGGUGUCUCUCAGACAGAGGCUGGGGUCUGCAGAGGAGUGACCAACCUGAUGGAGAGUGACAGGCACCUACUCAGGGUUCUCCUAGCGGCACCGGAGACAGAGCGGGAGGAGCUGCUUCAACAAGGACACCCCUCAGCCCUUGGGUAAGGAACCCCCAGCCUCUAAUAUUGGUGCACUUCGAGGGCUGAAAGAAUCAGAUGGAUAAAAUCAAUAUGGUUCUACUUAGCUCUUUUAUAGGCUGGGGUAGAAUGUCCCCCGUAUUACUGCCUUACACCUAUCCAAACCUUAUGGUCGUCAUACGUGCAAAGAGAGUAUGGGUGGAUUUGGGAUGGAAUCAGUAUCUCUAACUUCAAUCUUGAGGUAAUGGAGAAUUUUAUUUUCUCAUUGUUUUCACUCUUUACAUCAGAGUGCUGAUAGCUCCAGAACACGGAGAAACAGUCAGACUUCUAACGGAGGAACAAAAACCAGUGGUUUGUCAGUCCAAUUGGAAAUGGUCAGACUUAUAAAGGACGAGCCAGAAGCAUGGGUUUGUCAGUCCACAUCUUUUUGUCUCUUAGGAGCACUUGGGAAACGAAAGUGGAAAUCUCUGGAAAGGAGGAGAGGGUGAGGGAGGAGAGUGCCGUGUAUGAAAUGGAGGAACAAGAUGAGGAAGAGAGAGCGGAAGGGAAUAAUGUGUGUUAUUCAUCUGCAGUCAAAAUUCAGUGAGGACUUAAGAUCCAUGAGGUGACCCACUCUAGGCCUGGCCCACAGAAAGAAAUAAAGGAAGAGAACCUGGUAACUGCCUCUUUGGGAGUCCUUUCCUACAGCACCAUGUCACGUUGAAGCGGUCGAACAUGUGGCAGACUGAUGUUUCCUUUCAAACAUACCUCUCCUCCAAACUCCACUUCAGCAGUUCCCAAACUUUCAUUUAACAUAUAAAAAUGUUAUAUAAUAUAACAAGCAUAUAUUUUUUCUAAACCUGGGAUAUUAUUAAGCCAUGGUAUUUAUUAUACUUCCAGUACUUUGUUAAAAUAUCACUUUAGUAAAGUUCAUGCAACCUGAGAACCAUUUUUAUGCCAAGAUGCUACUUUUUGCAGUUUACUGUGCUACAUGCUUCACCAUCCAGUAUCAUGCCAACACAUGCUGAAUAGACAAGCUAUAGACAUACCUAUGAGUUAUGUGUAUUGUCGAUUUCUGAGGAUUCACUGGCUUAGAAUACUGCUGAUCAAAGAUAAUUCUAGACAGUCUCUGCCUCUGGUCUGUGAGGGGAAAGAGGGGAAUCUGGAGAGCCCAUUCUCUAACAGCUGUGCUCAAAUCUGGCUAUGUAUACAUUAUAACAACCUUAUGUAACAGCAAGCUUGUUACAGCCACAAAGCCCACGACCAAUGUCCAUUUCUUCAUGUAACACCCAAUUACACUGGUUGACACAGAGUGCCAUUGUCUUAGUCUGAGGACUCUGACAUAUUCUUGUUUAUUGUUGAGGCUGGUGAGUUUUGAUUUCUGGCUUAAGCUAAUACUAAUCCCUCUCUGAGACUAUUUUCUUUGGCCCUGAGCUUGUGGUCCACGGUGCACUGCCUUUUACUGCCCUGGUCCCCGAGAACACGGGAUAUGCAGACUGGGAAGACAUGGUUGGAAUACCGCAGGGCUAGACAAUUUCUCUCACCGAUAUGACACUGUCAUUAUGAAAGGACCAAUCAGAGCUGGGUGAUGAUGUCAUUGUGAAGGGUUAAGACAGAACUACGUUUUAGGAUGUAAAGAAAGCACUCCUAGAUAGCAGUAUUUUUCUUUGAAAAAUAUGUAAAGACAGUUAUUUUGUAUUUAUAUUAUUAUCAUAAUAUAUGCCAUUUAGCAGUUGCUUUUAUCCAAAAUGACUUAAGUCAUGCGUGCAUACAUUUUAAGUCUGGGUGGUCCUGGGAAUCAAACCCACUAUCCUGAUGUUGCAUGCACCAUGCUCUACCAACUGAGAUACUUCAUAUUUUCCUCUGUUCUUUUCACUUCCAAGUACACUGCUUACUCAGGAAUAGGUGUUACAUAAUGUUAUUACAUUCAUACUGACCAAUCCUGGCACUUUAUUCUUGGAGCAUACUGGACUAAUUUCCCCCUACAGUUUAGCUGAUCUUGCACUAAUUUUAUUUGUUGCAACUGAGAGGUAUGUGCCCAAAACCAUGUACUUAUGGCUGUCUGGCUGAUGCAAUGUUGCAUGACUCCACACUGGCACAGACCGCACAGACAGUCCUUCUUGAUUGAGGAAGCUGGAAACUCCCUACUCACUAACACUCUCACUUUAUUCCUCCAUCUUUUUCUCUGUUAUUC